rnacentral:rRNA from 1 species
GAUGAACGCUAGCGGCAGGCCUAACACAUGCAAGUCGAGGGGUAACUAGAGUGAUAGCAAUAUUACUUUGGCUAGACCGGCGCACGGGUGCGUAACACGUAUGCAACCUACCUUAUACUGGGGAAUAACUUCGAGAAAUCGGCGCUAAUACCCCAUAACAUUGCGAAGAGGCAUCUCUUUGCAAUUAAAGCUCCGGCGGUAUAAGAUGGGCGUGCGUCCAAUUAGCUAGUUGGUGAGGUAACGGCUCACCAAGGCUACGAUUGGUAGGGGUUCUGAGAGGAUGAUCCCCCACACUGGUACUGAGACACGGACCAGACUCCGACGGGAGGCAGCAGUGAGGAAUAUUGCGCAAUGGACGAUAGUCUGACGCAGCCAUGCCGCGUGCAGGAUGACGGCCCUAUGGGUCGUAAACUGCUUUUGUACGGGAAUAAACCCUUCUACGUGUAGGAGGCUGAAGGUACCGUAAGAAUAAGCACCGGCUAACUCCGUGCCAGCAGCCGCCGCCGUAA